rnacentral:rRNA from 1 species
CACGGGGGUUGCAAGCGUUGUCCGGAAUUACUAGGCGUAAAGGGCAGGCAGGCGGAUCCAUAAGUUUAUCGUUUAAGGCGUCGGCUUAACCGGCGUAGGGCGGUAGAUACUGUGGAUCUGGAAUGCGGUUGGGGAAGACAGAAUUCCUGGUGUAGCGGUGGAAUGCGCAGAGAUCAGGAGGAAUACCGAAGGCGAAGGCAGUCUUCCAAGCCGUUAUUGACGCUCAACUGCGAAGGUGUGGGUAUCAAACAGGAUUAGAUACCCGGGUAGUCCCUGAGCGGG